rnacentral:rRNA from 1 species
GAUGAACGCUGGCGGCGUGCCUAAUACAUGCAAGUCGAGCGAACAGAUGAGGAGCUUGCUCCUCUGACGUUAGCGGCGGACGGGUGAGUAACACGUGGAUAACCUACCUAUAAGACUGGGAUAACUUCGGGAAACCGGAGCUAAUACCGGAUAAUAUAUUGCACCGCAUGGUUCAAUAGUGAAAGACGGUUUUGCUUUCACUUAUAGAUGGAUCCGCUCCGCAUUAGCUAGUUGGUAAGGUAACGGCUUACCAAGGCAACGAUGCGUAGCCGACCUGAGAGGGUGAUCGGCCACACUGGAACUGAGACACGGUCCAGACUCCUACGGGAGGCAGCAGUAGGGAAUCUUCCGCAAUGGGCGAAAGCCUGACGGAGCAACGCCGCGUGAGUGAUGAAGGUCUUCGGAUCGUAAAACUCUGUUAUUAGGGAAGAACAAAUGUGUAAGUAACUAUGCACGUCUUGACGGUACCUAAUCAGAAAGCCACGGCUAACUACGUG